AUUCCUGAGCAGGAUCGUACCCAUAUCCGCAGCAGGUCUCCAAGGUGAACAGCCUCUAGUCGAUAGAAUAAUGUAGGUAAGGGAAGUCGGCAAAUUAGAUUCGUAACUUCGGGAAAAGAAUUGGCUCUAAAGGUUGGGUCAGUCGGGCUGUUGUGUGAAACAGGUGGACAUUGCUCGUGGCUGCUUUCGCUUCCUUUCGGGGCGGCGCUUGUGGACUAGUAGUGAGGACUGCUUGUGGAGCGCUUCAGCUGCGUGCUAUUUCGCAAGAUAUAGUACUUCGAUUGGCGCUGAACAACCAGUUUAGAACUGGCACGAACUCCGGGAAUCCGAAUGUCUAAUUAAAACAGAGAUGUCUAAUUAAAACUUUGAACAAAUCAGAGUGCUUCAAACAGGCGUUUUCGCUUGAAUGAUCGUGCAUGGAAUAAUAGAAAACGAUUUUGGUUCAGUUUUAUUGGUUUUACGGACUGAGAUUUGUAUGGCCCCGUGAGAGGUGAAAUUCUUGGACCGUGGCCAGACAAACUACAGCGAAAGCAUUUGCCAAGAAUGUCUUCAUUAAUCAAGAACGAAAGUCAGAGGUUCGAAGGCGAUCAGAUACCGCCCUAGUUCUGACCGUAAACGAUGCCAACUAGCGAUCCGCCGAUGGAAAUUAUAUUGCCUUGGUGGGGAGCUUCCCGGAAACGAAAGUCUUCCGGUUCCGGGGGAAGUAUGGUUGCAAAGCUGAAACUUAAAGGAAUUGACGGAAGGGCACCACCAGGAGUGGAGCCUGCGGCUUAAUUUGACUCAACACGGGGAAACUCACCCGGCCCGGACACUGUGAGGAUUGACAGAUUGAUAGCUUUUUCAUGAUUCAGUGGAUGGUGGUGCAUGGCCGUUCUUAGUUCGUGGAGUGAUUUGUCUGGUUUAUUCCGAUAACGAGCGAGACUCUAACCUACUAAAUAGCUGGUACAUACUCUUAGUGUAUACAGCUUCUUAGAGGGAUUUGCGGUGUUCAGCCGAAAGAAAUUGAGCAAUAACAGGUCUGUGAUGCCCUUAGAUGUCCGGGGCUGCACGCGCGCUACACUGGCAAAAUCAACGUGCUUGUCCUACCCCGAAAGGGGCGGGUAAACCAUUGAAAAUUUGCCGUGAUUGGGAUCGGAAAUUGCAAUUAUUUUCCGUGAACGAGGAAUUCCAAGUAAGUGCGAGUCAUCAGCUCGCGUUGAUUACGUCCCUGCCCUUUGUACACACCGCCCGUCGCUGCCCGGGACUGAGCCAUUUCGAGAAAUUUGGGGACCGUUGAUUUAAUUUUUCUAAAUUACUUUGAUGGAAACCAAUUUAAUCGCAGUGGCUUGAACCGGGCAAAAGUCGUAACAAGGUAGCUGUAGGUGAACCUGCUGCUG
rnacentral:rRNA from 1 species